rnacentral:lncRNA from 1 species
GGAAAAUUGCAUAAAUAAAUAAUAGAUGAAACAGUUAUUUAAUUGGAAAUAAAUGAGCAUGUUUCAACUUGAGAAUAUUCCUUAUGAAAAGUUAUUAUAAAUCCAACUCUGUACUGAGUUUUAUUAAAAACUAAAAAAAGCAUCUAGUUUCUAAAUCUUGUGGAUAGCAUAAUGGACAUAUGGAGACAUAAUAUUAUUCAAGCUUCUUCUAUAAUAAUGAAGACCAUGGUUGAUUUAAUCAGUCUCUGCUGAUGAAGAUCUUGGCUGUUACCUUUGUGUGUAAGGAAGCUAAAGACUUAAGUAAAUAACAGUCCAAAAACUUGUCAAUUAGGGUAAAUUUUUCAUUAAUGUUCACUGAAUUAUUUAAAGUUAAGGCAUAUGUAGAUCAAUGAGAUGAAUGUGUUAUGAAACUUAGAUUGUGGUUAGUCCAAUUAAGCACAAUUUUGGUUAAAAAUAAGAUGAAAGACAUUUUAUUCAUUUUUUUAUCUGAUUAAUAAUUCAUCUUAUUUUGUACUGCAUUUAAUUUAAGAUUUAUUCACUAAUAAAAUCUAUGGCUGCACUGUUCAAUGUCGUUUCCUCUAUCCACAUGUGGCUAUUUAUAUUUAAAAUAAUUAAAGGUACAUGCACUUUUAAAUGUAAUUUCUUGGUUGCAUUAGCCACAUUUCUAGUGCUCAGCAGCUGUAUGUUGCUAUUGGUGACUGUAAUGGAGAACGCAGUUACAGUACGUUUACAUUAUAUGCAAAGUCCUGUUAGACAGCUCUUUAAUGAGGGAGGAAUGCAUGGAAAGGUGGAAGAUAAGUGGAAUGAGAUGGCUAGGAAGCAAGGAUGUUCAUUGAUCUAUACUUGCUUCACUGUGGGCCACUACAAAAGGAGAUCUAGUCUAUUGAGAAUAGGGCUAGUCUAUGCGAAAAGAGC